rnacentral:rRNA from 1 species
UACAGAGGUCCCAAGCGUUGUUCGGAUUCACUGGGCGUAAAGGGUGCGUAGGCGGUCGGAUAAGUCUGAUGUGAAAUCUUCGAGCUCAACUCGGAAACUGCAUCGGAAACUAUUCGGCUAGAGGAUUGGAGGGGAGACUGGAAUUCUCGGUGUAGCAGUGAAAUGCGUAGAUAUCGAGAGGAACACCAGUGGCGAAGGCGAGUCUCUGGACAACUCCUGACGCUGAGGCACGAAAGCUAGGGGAGCAAACAGG